AAAUUCCAAUACUUUUUUAAUCAGGACGGGUUCACUUAGUACAAACUAUACCGUCAUGGAGAGAGCAUUCGCUGAGGGAUGAAGGCUGGGGAGGCGCCGUCGCCAAAACGAAAACGAAUGGAAGCAACUGCUGGACCAGAUUGUGCACUUCCGGAGGAGGUUUGCCUAUGGAUGGAUGCUAAAGCCAUGGUUCCUGUAUAGUAUAAGGGAAGCGACAUCAUUCUCGCCGGCGGCUCAAAGCAUGGUACGUUCAUCCAUUAUGUUUCUUCUUCCUCGGGACUCUUAACUGUAAGUUACAAUUGUAGAGUUGUGAUGUUUAAGGCAGCCGUGUCUAUCUUUACAGGUGCAGAUCAAAGCUCUAAGGUAAGCUGUAAUAAAUCAUUUGCCAUUUCUUAUCGUUUUGUAAGCAAUUGUUAAUGCUCUGUAAUUUGUAUAGUCCUUUAUAGCAUAAAGAGCCUCUCUGAUGUCUUCUAACACGAGAAACUGUAUAGAAGCAGGAGGAAUACCAGAAUGCUAGAGAUUAGACAUUCAAGCAUGUGGAGGUCAACAACAAUUUGAACAAGUUCAAAUUUUGACAUCUUAAGUGGCGGAUGGAAGGUUUCUGAAACAGAGAGCUGAAGAAGGAUUUAGAAAAUAAGGUACAAGCCUCAUUUCAUAACACAGAAUCUUUGCAUUGGCUUAUGGAACAAGCUUUAAUUGUUUUGUGGUUACAUGUAUCUAAUGGUUGGGGGUUCCGAUUUGGUUUUGAACAUGUUUCCGAGAUUGAAACGACCACUUCUUAUCAAUGAAAACUUGACAAAGAUACACAUAAAUGGCUUGAUAUCAUAUCUAGGCAAUGCAAGUGUGAUUUCUGGAGGAGCUUCUUGGGGUUCAAAUCAGCAAUCUUUGAAAACUGGAAAUGGGAAAGAGUUAGGAAAAGGAAGUGCAGUCAGACACCCUAAAGGAGAUUGGAAUGGCUGAUGCAGAGGUCUAUGAAUGGGUGAGGGCUGCUGUUAUAAACUGAUAACUCCAUCAAAAAUUGGAGACGAAGGCUUUGGUCAUCACAUAUAAGUUGGCAACGACCAACUGAAGGUAUGGUGAAGGGCAACUAUGAUGCUGCAUUCCAAACUAACUGGUGGACGUAGCUCUCAGGGGUCAAUUAUCUAGGGGUCAUCCCUUUAAGGGAGGGCAGGAUCGGAUUUAGAGUCAGAAGCAAUGGUACUACUCUUAAUUAUUCAGAAGCUCAUGUAAUAUCACCUCCUCCCCACCAAGCGCAUGCUUAUGAGAUCAUGAAUGUGAUCAGCAAUAUCAAAUGGUGCGCCUCGAAAAAUAUUUUACCGGAAGAAGAUUCCUUUUGUGUUGCUCUUUGUUCUAUCAAUCACAAAGCACAUGAUAAUCCUAUAUG